GUGAGGAAUAUUGGUCAAUGGACGCAAGUCUGAACCAGCCAAGUAGCGUGCAGGAUGACGGCCCUCCGGGUUGUAAACUGCUUUUAGUUGGGAAUAAAAGGGGGCUCGUGAGCCCCGUAUUGUAUGUACCAUCAGAAAAAGGACCGGCUAAUUCCGUGCCAGCAGCCGCGGUAAUACGGAAGGUCCGGGCGUUAUCCGGAUUUAUUGGGUUUAAAGGGAGCGUAGGCCGGCUUUUAAGUCAGCUGUGAAAGUCCGCGGCUCAACCGUGGAAUUGCAGUUGAAACUGGAGGCCUUGAGUGCACACAGGGAUGCCGGAAUUCAUGGUGUAGCGGUGAAAUGCUUAGAUAUCAUGAAGAACUCCGAUCGCGAAGGCAAGUGUCCGGGGUGCAACUGACGCUGAGGCUCGAAAGUGCGGGUAUCAAACAGG
rnacentral:rRNA from 1 species